GAAUGAAGCAUUUUAAUGUUGCAGAGUUCUGUUGUGUUCGACUUUGUGCAAAGCUGAAAUGACCUUACUACCCGAUGAGAAUGAUCAUCCCAUAUCCCUUGACAACUUAACUAAUGACUCUACAGGCUCAUUAUUGAUGCUGUGCACUGCACUGUGUGCCCUCCUCGAGAGGUUUCUGCUGAAACUUGUCUGUUUUGUUAUUUGACACCCCGCAACAGAUCGUGCUGGUAUGUUCAUGCAGAGACACAGGAGCCGGAAGUUUUGAACACCAAUGGGCAUUUUCGUUAGACCAAUCUGCACUGAUACAUUUGGACACUUUCGCUUUGGACUGUCCACCUCUGUGUACAAGUUGUACAUACCAGAGUGGUAUGUACAAAUGUUACAGCACACACGCUGCCGAGUGCACACACCCCUUCUUUUUUCCACCGGGAAGUCCCACAUCAGUUGACUAUGGCAUUCUGGUCGUUGUAUGUACUAUUCAUCAUUUGCUCCAGUUUGCCCAUGUGGAAGACCCUGUAUGUGUCGGCCUCUGAUCUGUUUAUUAAACCCAAAUAGAAGGCCAUAAAUACUAGCACUACCUCAAUUCUUAAUGUUUUCUGGUAUCUAGCAUUUUCAUUGAUGGAUUAUCUCCCUUGGACUGUUGGACUGUUUUUCACCAGUUCUACCAUGUCAAAUUGACAUUGUUUGCAAGCCAUAUUUUUCAAAUCUGACUCUUUGUGAUUGUGUUUGUAAUCACAUAAAUAGUGUAUUUAUCCAACAAAAAUGUGAUUUGCAUGCUACAAGGUAUAUAAUGUGUAACUUUCAUAUAAAAGGUAUAAUUUAA